AUUGAACGCUGGCGGCAUGCCUUACACAUGCAAGUCGAACGGCAGCACGGGGCAACCUGGUGGCGAGUGGCGAACGGGUGAGUAAUGCAUCGGAACGUACCUUUCAGUGGGGGAUAACGUAGCGAAAGUUACGCUAAUACCGCAUAUUCUGUGAGCAGGAAAGCAGGGGAUCGCAAGACCUUGCGCUGAUUGAGCGGCCGAUGUCAGAUUAGCUAGUUGGUGAGGUAAAGGCUCACCAAGGCGACGAUCUGUAGCGGGUCUGAGAGGAUGAUCCGCCACACUGGAACUGAGACACGGUCCAGACUCCUACGGGAGGCAGCAGUGGGGAAUUUUGGACAAUGGGGGCAACCCUGAUCCAGCCAUGCCGCAUGAGUGAAGAAGGCCUUCGGGUUGUAAAGCUCUUUCGGCCGGGAAGAAAUCGCACGGGCUAAUACCCUGUGUGGAUGACGGUACCGGAAUAAGAAGCACCGGCCAACUACGUGCCAGCCGCCGCAGUAACAC
rnacentral:rRNA from 1 species